rnacentral:rRNA from 1 species
UGGCGGCGUGCCUAACACAUGCAAGUCGAGCGAGGAGAUUCCUUCGGGAUGAUCCUAGCGGCGGACGGGUGAGUAACACGUGGGCAACCUGCCUCAUAGAGAGGAAUAGCCUUCCGAAAGGGAGAUUAAUACCUCAUAACAUUGCAGUUUCGCAUGGAACAGCAAUUAAAGGAGCAAUCCGCUAUGAGAUGGGCCCGCGGCGCAUUAGCUAGUUGGUGAGGUAACGGCUCACCAAGGCGACGAUGCGUAGCCGACCUGAGAGGGUGAUCGGCCACAUUGGGACUGAGACACGGCCCAGACUCCUACGGGAGGCAGCAGUGGGAAUAUUGCACAAUGGGGGAAACCCUGAUGCAGCCAACGCCGCGUGAGUGAUGACGGCCUUCGGGUUGUAAAGCUCUGUCUUCAGGGACGAUAAUGACGGUACCUGAGGAGGAAGCCACGGCUAACUACGUGCCAGCAGCUGC